AACAGGAAAAGUGGGGGAAGGAGAAAAAGGAGCGGUUGAACCGAGGGCCGAGUUGAUCGGAGCGCCGGCCGGGGACAGAAGGAGCGCUCUUGGUGACAAGUCAGGUGGAGGAGCUCAAGUCUCGAACACUGUUUGGUUUCCCAUGUACAGGCUAGACCCCACCCACGAUGAUCACUGAAUUACCAGGUGCCGAGGCCUCUUUCUGUUGUCAAGAGCCAGAGACAACUGAAAGAGCCAGAGACAACUGAAAGAUUUUUGCUCUUGCGAAACCUGUCUCCCGUCGGGCCCGCACACAGCCAGCACUGAGGGCUGCCCAGGUGGUGCCCAGUCACAACUCACAGCCGCGGAGGGCACCG